CUAAUACCGUAUACGCCCUACGGGGGAAAAAUUUAUUGCUAUUAGAUGAGCCUAUAUUAGAUUAGCUAGUUGGUGGAGUAAUAGCCUACCAAGGCAAUGAUCUAUAGCUGAUCUGAGAGGAUGAUCAGCCACACUGGAACUGAGAUACGGUCCAGACUUCUACGGGAGGCAGCAGUGGGGAAUAUUGGACAAUGGGCGAAAGCCUGAUCCAGCCAUGUCGCAUGAGUGAAGAAGGCCCUUGGGUUGUAAAGCUCUUUUAGUGAGGAAGAUAAUGACGGUACUCACAGAAGAAGUCCUGGCUAACUCCGUGCCAGCAGCCGCGGUAAUACGGAGAGGGCUAGCGUUAUUCGGAAUUAUUGGGCGUAAAGGGCGCGUAGGCUGAUUAAUAAGUUAAAAGUGAAAUCCCGAGGCUUAACCUUGGAAUUGCUUUUAAAACUAUUAAUCUAGAGAUUGAAAGAGGAUAGAGGAAUUCCUGAUGUAGAGGUAAAAUUCGUAAAUAUUAGGAGGAACACCAGUGGCGAAGGCGUCUAUCUGGUUCAAAUCUGACGCUGAGGCGCGAAGGCGUGGGGAGCAAACAGGAUUAGAUACCCUGGUAGUCCACGCUGUAAACGAUGAAUGUUAAAUAUGGGAAGUUUACUUUCUGUAUUACAGCUAACGCGUUAAACAUUCCGCCUGGGGACUACGGUCGCAAGAUUAAAACUCAAAGGAAUUGACGGGGACCCGCACAAGCGGUGGAGCAUGUGGUUUAAUUCGAUGCAACGCGAAAAACCUUACCACUUCUUGACAUGGAAAUCAUACCUAUUCGAAGGGAUAGGGUCGGUUCGGCCGGAUUUUACACAGGUGUUGCAUGGCUGUCGUCAGCUCGUGUCGUGAGAUGUUGGGUUAAGUCCCGCAACGAGCGCAACCCUCAUCCUUAGUUGCCAUCAGGUAAUGCUGAGUACUUUAAGGAAACUGCCAGUGAUAAGCUGGAGGAAGAUGGGGAUGAUGUCAAGUCAUCAUGGCCUUUAUGAAGUGGGCUACACACGUGCUACAAUGGUGUCUACAGUGGGCUGCAAGGUGCGCAAGCCUAAGCUAAUCCCUAAAAGACAUCUCAGUUCGGAUUGUACUCUGCAACUCGAGUGCAUGAAGUUGGAAUCGCUAGUAAUCGUGGAUCAGCAUGCCACGGUGAAUACGUUCUCGGGUCUUGUACACACUGCCCGUCACGCCAUGGGAAGGUGUUUCACUCGAAGCUAAU
rnacentral:rRNA from 1 species